GGGGAAGCAGGUUGUGAACUGGGAACAAAAGAGGCAGAGAGAGAAAAGGAGUGGAGCUGAGUGAGACAAGUUGGUGGAAAAGGACUGAGAAGUGAACUGAACUAAAACUGUGUGAUUAAGUGCUGUGACCUGGACUGGCUGACUACCCCCCUGUGUACCGAACUGUUCUGGACGAGGCCCUGUUUGUGGAUUACCUGUGGAUUAAAGACGACAUGAAUGGAUUGUGGACAGUUCACCUGAUUAAACGAUUAACUUUACAGCACUCCAGUAAGACAAUACGCUAUUCUAAAGACAAAAAAAAAAAAACAUCUCACACACAGGGGCAGGGGUCAAUGGGAUUUCUAAGAACGCUUGACAAAAGAAAAACAGACUAUGCAUGUUUUCACUUCUUCGAAGGAUGACCGGCAUUGUAAUGACUUGGUGAUUGUGUGCAGCUCUCCCUUUUCAUUUGACUUGACACAGGUCUGUUUUUACCUUUGUCUCCUCAUCGACAGGAUGUUUCCACUCCACAGGUAUUUGAGGAGAUCCCAACCAAUCAGGGAAAACGACCCAGUGAGGUGAAGAGGCUGAGGCCAGCAGAACUUUGAUUUGAUAUUGUUUCCUCUCAGAAUGAACAUUUGGUUGCAGGGACUGUCAGGAAUAAGAGAAUUAACCGAAAUGUCAUCUGGACCUUAAACACCUACAGAAUCUAUCGACUUGGACUGUAAACAAUGGCCGACGCACAGAAGAGGAAGUCUUGGCCUGGAUAUCCAAUGGCUACACCAGAACCCCAAAAUUAUUGCUUGAAGAGUCUAAAUCGUCAUCAGACCGAUGGCCAAUGGGUUCCGAGUAGGGUUGCGGGCUGAAAAACCAGAACAAUAAGGCAGCUUCUGGGACUACUGGAUUAUGCAGUCUGCACUGAGGCCUUGCUGUUGCUUUAUUCACAUCGAAGCUUAUUCAUAUUAGAUUUCUGUUAUGCCAUUGCUUUUGACAACAUGCCCUCAUGGAUCCACUCAAACUAAUUUUGGGCUUAAAUAUUUAUUGUGAGGGUAUUAAAUCGGGAAAAUCCUAACAGUAAAAUAAAGGUUUGUUAAAAAGACAACGGUCUUCAUAAGUCAGUGAAGAUGUUUUAAGUGCAGUAUUCAACUUGACAUUUCUACCAGUCUGCAUGGAACCACAUACACUGUCAUUUAAAAGGAAAUUACUGAGUGAUACUAGUGCACGGUCCAUUGAGUCCACUGAGUAUCAACACCCUGGCCUGCACCACAUUGCAGCGAAUGCUUUUGUUGUUUUCUGGUCCAUAUGGUUGAGUCUCAGUGGCUCCUAACAUGGGCAGCUCUGAGUUCAUAAGCUCCCAUAACCCUCGUUGCCAAGACAUUGCAAAGAGCCAAAGUCAGCAUGUAGCUGGGGAUGAUUUGAACAUCUUGCAGGCCAAAGAAACAUAUACUUUGAGCUCUUGUCUUUUAAAAUAUGACUCAAUUUUAUGUCUAAUUCCUGUAAAGUGAAAUGUAUAAUGUUUUAAAUCUACUAUAAAGACUAGACUGAUAUACAGUACAUUUCCACUAGUUGAAUUGCGAGGUUGGUCUGCCACCACUUUGGUCCAGACUGAUCUCAACAUCUAUGAGAUGGAUUGCCAUGAAAGACUCUUAGUCUUGUUUUUCAGUGGUUUCAUAGUGGUAUAUAUUGUACUGACUAGUUUAAACAUCAACCAAAUGCCAAAUAUUAGGCGGUAUUCAAUGCUGACAGCUGUCACAAGGCAUUGACAGUGCUUCUGUGACUAAAACUGUGUUCAGCGUGAAUGUGAAGUGAAAUUUGACCUUGUGUUACAGUGCCCAUUUUAAACUUGCACUGAUGUGUCUUUGCCCUAAUUCAUGCCGCAUAGUGCAUAUUUGUGUCUAUGCCUUCGUUCUAUUGACUUUGUAUGCAGCUAUGAAAAGCUACCAAAAUGAGUCCAAAAGACUUUUUUGUCUGCUUUAUCUCCUUCCAUGUGUCCCUGCUCUUGUGUCAGAUAUUUUCAAAGAUAUUGACCCAUGAUAACAAAACUAAUCUUCCCAUUUCCAUCUGCAAGUGUGUGCAAGUAAAAGCAACGUUUACCUAAACUGCAAACAUAAGCAGCCAGCACACAUUGCACAAUACCAAUGAAGACAGUUUUUACAAUGAUGGAAAACCCAAGCAGGUCCAACAAGAAGACUCUGAAGAAUGGUUUGGAUGGAUUUACUUACUUACUGUUUUAGACCUACAAAGCUUAAAAUUGAUUAAUUAACACAGUGUAGAUGGGCUGCAUUGGAGUUUAUCGAAAGAGACAAACAGAAUGAGUUGAGGAAAACACUUAAUUGGUCCUUAAAUGGGAGCGAACAAAAUAAAUAACAUGUCUGUUAGCCAGAGGACAUGGUAAUUAAUUGAGUUUACAUUUGCUGUACAUGAAUUUACAUUUACAUAUUUACAUUUAACUGUCCUUAAAGGGAGUAGUUUAUACAUAACUAUAACUUAUACGGAUAUACUGUAAUACAACAAAUGCAUUUGUUUUGCUGGUUUGAUCAAAGUGGCUACUUUUAAGUACCAGCACACUAAAAUUUGUUUAAAACUGGACAUAUUCCAGUGGAGCAGAGAUAGGCGUCAAAGUUCAGGAGUUAGGUCCAGGUCACAUUAAUUAGCAGUGACAGAAACAAUUUAUUCCAAAAGGAUGUGGGUCAGGAAUACACAUCAGGACAUAUUGUAGGGUCGAGGGGGUGAAGGAGCUUGUUGGUUAAUUGGCAAUAUCCUUUAAAAUUGUGAUUAUAAUUGGCUUCAAUUGAUAUUUUUUUUGGGGGGGUUUGAGUGGACAUUUCCACAAUCCACACUGAUAUUUGCUACUAACACAACACAACAAGCAAAGUAUUCCUUUAUAACUCCUCAAAAAAAGUACAGAUUCGAUACAGUAUGUCAUGGCGAUGGUUGAUGUGGAGCUGCAGGUUAAUUGUUCCCAGGGAGGUUUCUUCCUGUGAUAUUUAAUACAACAUAUGUUACAUAAUGAAACAUGUCAGUUUAAUCAAAGGCUGUUGAACUCUUUUGUGUGUAUCAGCACUUUAAAUUUAAUUAGCCAUCUCAAAGGAAACCAAAUAUAUUGAAGUAAAAGCCGUCUCAGCUUCCCCGUGUAAGAUUUGUUUGUUUGCAGCUUUAUUGUAGCACAAACCAAUGCACUUUCUUCUUCUAUAAGUACAUUUCCAGCAGGCUAGACAGUUACAUAUUUUGUUUGGAAUGUAACUAUAUUUGGCAAUAAGUGAGUGUAACUCUCCACAUCUACUGAAAGACAGUGUUGACAUGAUUAACCCUUACACACAUACAUCAUUGGAACUAUACUCUCUUCCAUUCAGUAAAUGGGUGAAAAUGAUUAAAAUCAAUGUUUUUGUUAAUAAUAAAUAUAUGCUUCCUCCAUA